rnacentral:rRNA from 1 species
UGGGGAAUAUUGGACAAUGGGCGCAAGCCUGAUCCAGCCAUGCCGCGUGAGUGAUGAAGGCCCUAGGGUUGUAAAGCUCUUUUGUGCGGGAAGAUAAUGACGGUACCGCAAGAAUAAGCCCCGGCUAACUUCGUGCCAGCAGCCGCGGUAAUACGAAGGGGGCUAGCGUUGCUCGGAAUCACUGGGCGUAAAGGGUGCGUAGGCGGGUAUUUAAGUCAGGGGUGAAAUCCUGGAGCUCAACUCCAGAACUGCCUUUGAUACUGAGGAUCUUGAGUUCGGGAGAGGUGAGUGGAACUGCGAGUGUAGAGGUGAAAUUCGUAGAUAUUCGCAAGAACACCAGUGGCGAAGGCGGCUCACUGGCCCGAUACUGACGCUGAGGCACGAAAGCGUGGGGAGCAAACA